rnacentral:rRNA from 1 species
GACUACCAGGGUAUCUAAUCCCGUUUGCUACCCUAGCUUUCGCGUCUGAGUGUCAGGAAUGGUCCAGAAGGCCGCCUUCGCCACUGGUGUUCCUCCGGAUAUCUGCGCAUUCCACCGCUACACCCGGAAUUCCACCUUCCUCUACCAUCCUCUAGCUCUGCAGUUUAGAACGGCCUCUCCCAGUUGAGCCAGGAGCUUUCACGCCCUACUUACAGAACCACCUACACGCGCUUUACGCCCAGUAAAUCCGGAUAACGUUUGCCUCCUACGUGUUACCGCGGCUGCUGGCACGUAGUUAGCCGAGACUUAUUCAGAGAGUACCGUCCUUCCUCAUCCUCUCUAAAAGUGCUUUACAACCCGAAGGCCUUCUUCGCACACGCGGUGUCGCUAGUUCAGGCUUUCGCCCAUUACUAAUAUUCCCUACUGCAGCCCCCCGUAGG